AGAGUUUGAUCAUGGCUCAGGAUGAACGCUAGCUACAGGCUUAACACAUGCAAGUCGAGGGGAAACGACAUCGAAAGCUUGCUUUUGAUGGGCGUCGACCGGCGCACGGGUGAGUAACGCGUAUCCAACCUGCCCACCACUUGGGGAUAACCUUGCGAAAGUAAGACUAAUACCCAAUGACGUCUCUAGAAGACAUCUGAAAGAGAUUAAAGAUUUAUCGGUGAUGGAUGGGGAUGCGUCUGAUUAGCUUGUUGGCGGGGUAACGGCCACCAAGGCGACGAUCGAGUAGGGGUUCUGAGACGGAAGGUCCCCCANAUUGGAACUGAGACACGGUCCAAACUCCUAGGGAGGCA
rnacentral:rRNA from 1 species